rnacentral:tRNA from 1 species
GCCUGUGUGGUGAAACUGGUAAACACGUCGGAUUCAAAAUCCGAUGACUUAGGUCUUGAGGGUUCGAGUCCCUCCACAGGUA